AUUGAACGCUGGCGGCAGGCUUAACACAUGCAAGUCGAGCGGGGUGAUGGUGCUUGCACUAUCACUAAGCGGCGGACGGGUGAGUAAUGCUUAGGAAUCUGCCUAUUAGUGGGGGACAACAUCUCGAAAGGGAUGCUAAUACCGCACACGUCCUACGGGAGAAAGCAGGGGAUCACUUGUGACCUUGCGCUAAUAGAUGAGCCUAAGUCGGAUUAGCUAGUUGGUGGGGUAAAGGCCUACCAAGGCGACGAUCUGUAGCGGGUCUGAGAGGAUGAUCCGCCACACUGGGACUGAGACACGGCCCAGACUCCUACGGGAGGCAGCAGUGGGGAAUUUUGGACAAUGGGCGAAAGCCUGAUCCAGCAAUGCCGCGUGCAGGAAGAAGGCCUUCGGGUUGUAAACUGCUUUUGUACGGAGCGAAAAGGUCUCCUCUAAUACAGGGGGCUCAUGACGGUACCGUAAGAAUAAGCACCGGCUAACUACGUGCCAGCAGCCGCCGUAACAC
rnacentral:rRNA from 1 species